rnacentral:rRNA from 1 species
UACGAAGGGGGCUAGCGUUGUUCGGAAUUACUGGGCGUAAAGCGUAUGCAGGCGGAUCUCUAAGUCGGGGGUGAAAUCCUGGAGCUCAACUCCAGAACUGCCUUCGAUACUGGAAAGCUCGAGUCCGGGAGAGGUGAGUGGAACUGCGAGUGUAGAGGUGAAAUUCGUAGAUAUUCGCAAGAACACCAGUGGCGAAGGCGGCUCACUGGCCCGGUACUGACGCUGAGGUGCGAAAGCGUGGGGAGCGAACAGG